ACAGACAGGUCAGGGAGCGAGAGACAGGUGUUAGCAGAGUCAGCAAGACUGUAGAUAGGAAGUGUGUGAUGGAGGACAGGAAGUGUGUGAUGGAGGACAGGAAGUGUGUGAUGGAGGACAGGAAGUGUGUGAUGGAGGACAGGAAGUGUGUGAUGGAGGAACACCCACCUUCUCCUAUCCCAGAGUUCAGCAGUACUCCCCAUGAGAACCACAUGGCAGAGGACAGGCUGUGAACCCUCAGACUAACUCAGCCUCCCUCCAUCAUCUUCAAACAGCUUUUUAAAAAAAGGAAGAGAGGAACAUUUGGACCGAGCUGGUCACAUGAUGCUCCUGGAACCUGAAUAAUAUCAUCAGGUUCUGAACAUCAGAUCUAGAAUCUGGUCAUAUUGUGAACGUGAGCUGCAGACACACAGACGAUGUUUCCUCACUCAGCUGAUUAGAUUCCAUCUUCACUGUUUUCAUGGAUGCAAAAUAAAACGAUCUGAUAAAA